rnacentral:rRNA from 1 species
AACGAACGCUGGCGGAAUGCUUUACACAUGCAAGUCGAACGGCAGCACGGGGCAACCUGGUGGCGAGUGGCGAACGGGUGAGUAAUACAUCGGAACGUGCCCAAUCGUGGGGGAUAACGUAGCGAAAGUUACGCUAAUACCGCAUACGAUCUACGGAUGAAAGCGGGGGAUCGCAAGACCUCGCGCGAAUGGAGCGGCCGAUGUCAGAUUAGGUAGUUGGUGGGGUAAAGGCUCACCAAGCCAACGAUCUGUAGCUGGUCUGAGAGGACGACCAGCCACACUGGAACUGAGACACGGUCCAGACUCCUACGGGAGGCAGCAGUGGGGAAUUUUGGACAAUGGGCGCAAGCCUGAUCCAGCCAUUCCGCGUGCAGGAUGAAGGCCUCGGUUGGUUAAACG